rnacentral:rRNA from 1 species
GAUGAACGCUAGCGACAGGCCUAACACAUGCAAGUCGAGGGGCAGCGAGGAUGUAGCAAUACAUUUGUCGGCGACCGGCGCACGGGUGAGUAACGCGUAUGCAACCUACCCGACACAGGGGGAUAACCCGGAGAAAUCCGGACUAAUACCGCAUAAAACAGGGUCCCGCAUGGGAAUAUUUGUUAAAGAGUUAUCGGUGUCGGAUGGGCAUGCGUUCCAUUAGCUAGUUGGUGAGGUAACGGCUCACCAAGGCAACGAUCAGUAGCCGGACUGAGAGGUUGAACGGCCACAUUGGAACUGAGAUACGGUCCAGACUCCUACGGAGGCAGCAGUGGGAAUAUGGCAAUGGGCGAAAGCCUGACCCAGCGACGCCGCGUGAGGGAAGAAGGCUUCGGAUUGUAAACCUUU